UACGGGGGGGCAAGCGUUGUUCGGAAUUACUGGGCGUAAAGGGCUCGUAGGUGGCCAACUAAGUCGGAUGUGAAAUCCCCAGGCUCAACCUGGGAACUGCAUCCGAUACUGGAUGGCUUGAAUCCGGGAGAGGGAUGCAGAAUUCCAGGUGUAGCGGUGAAAUGCGUAGAUAUCUGGAGGAACACCGGUGGCGAAGGCGGGUCUCUGGGCCGAUACUGACGCUGAGGAGCGAAAGCGUGGGGAGCGAACAGG
rnacentral:rRNA from 1 species